UACAGAGGGGGCAAGCGUUGUUCGGAAUUACUGGGCGUGAAGGGCGCGUAGGCGGCCUUCUAAGUCGAACGUGAAAUCCCCGGGCUCAACCCGGGAACUGCGUCCGAUACUGGAAGGCUUGAAUCCGGGAGAGGGAUGCAGAAUUCCAGGUGUAGCGGUGAAAUGCGUAGAUAUCGGGAGGAACACCAGUGGCGAAGGCGACUACCUGGCCUGUUCUUGACGCUGAGGCGCGAAAGCUAGGGGAGCAAACGGG
rnacentral:rRNA from 1 species